rnacentral:rRNA from 1 species
GAUGAACGCUGGCGGCGUGCCUAAUACAUGCAAGUCGAGCGAACGGACGAGAAGCUUGCUUCUCUGAUGUUAGCGGCGGACGGGUGAGUAACACGUGGAUAACCUACCUAUAAGACUGGGAUAACUUCGGGAAACCGGAGCUAAUACCGGAUAAUAUUUUGAACCGCAUGGUUCAAAAGUGAAAGACGGUCUUGCUGUCACUUAUAGAUGGAUCCGCGCUGCAUUAGCUAGUUGGUAAGGUAACGGCUUACCAAGGCAACGAUGCAUAGCCGACCUGAGAGGGUGAUCGGCCACACGGGAACUGAGACACGGUCCAGACUACUACGGGAGGCAGCAGUAGGGAAUCUUCCGCAAUGGGCGAAAGCCUGACGGAGCAACGCCGCGUGAGUGAUGAAGGUCUUCGGAUCGUAAAACUCUGUUAUUAGGGAAGAACAUAUGUGUAAGUAACUGUGCACAUCUUGACGGUACCUAAUCAGAAAGCCACGGCUAACUACGUG